AUUGAACGCUGGCGGCAGGCCUAACACAUGCAAGUCGAACGAGUGGCGGACGGGUGAGUAAUGUCUGGGAAACUGCCUGAUGGAGGGGGAUAACUACUGGAAACGGUAGCUAAUACCGCCUACCAUCGGAUUUGCCCAGAUGUGAUUAGCUGGUAGGUGGGGUAACGGCUCACCUAGGCGACGAUCCCUAGCUGGUCUGAGAGGAUGACCGGCCACACGGGAACUGGGAAACGGUCCAGACUCCUCCGGGAGGCAGAAGUGGGGAAUAUUGCACAAUGGGCGAAAGCCUGAUGCAGCCAUGCCGCGUGUAUGAAGAAGGCCUUCGGGUUGUAAAGUACUUUCAGCGGGGAGGCGUUACCCGAAGAAGAAGCACCGGCUAACUCCGUGCCAGCAGCCGCGGUAAUAC
rnacentral:rRNA from 1 species